rnacentral:sRNA from 1 species
GGGGAAGGAUGAGAAGCUUCGACUAAGGUUCGGCUCGAGCGUCAGCGAGAGAGCGUUGCCGCAGGCAACGACCCGAAGGGCGAAGCGCGCAGCGCUGAGUAAUCCUUCCCCCACCACCA